AUUGCAGUAUUUCUUGUUGUUGUGUGCUAUUAAAAAUGUGAAUUACUGUUUAUAUAUAUUGUAAAUACACAAUGUCAUUCAGCAGAUCGCAUUAGAAUAAAUUAAUAACUUGGAUUAUAAAGAUCUUUAAAUUGCAAUAUUUUAUGUUUUUCAGCUGUGCUCAAUGAAUGAAUACAAGCCACCGAUCUCCAAAGCAAAGAUGACCCAGAUUACAAAAUUGGCAAUUAAAACUAUAAAGUUCUACAAGCAUGUCGUCCAAAGUGUGGAGAAAUUCAUUCAGAAGGUCAGUUGUUAUUCUCUUGCAAAUGCAAAAUAAACUAUCAGAUAUUUGAAAGUUUGGAAAUG
rnacentral:lncRNA from 1 species